rnacentral:rRNA from 1 species
CCCUUAGAUGUUCUGGGCCGCACGCGUGCUACACUGAACGGUUCAAUGGGUAAGGUAGUGCGAAAGCACGACCUAAUCUCGAAAUCCGUUCGUGCUGGGGAUAGAAGCUUGCAAUUAUCCUUCUUGAACGAGGAAUACCUUGUAAGCGUGAGUCAUCAUCUCACGCUGAAUACGUCCCUGCCCUUUGUACACACCGCCCGUCGCUCCUACCGAUUGAGUGUUCCGGUGAGGCUUUGGGAGAAUGGCCUCAACAUGAGUUUAUCGUGUUUUGCCGUUUGAACUUAGUCAAACCUUAUCACUUAGAGGAAGGAGAAGUCGUAACA